UACGUAGGGGGCUAGCGUUGUCCGGAAUCAUUGGGCGUAAAGAGCGUGUAGGCGGUCCGGUAAGUCCGCUGUGAAAGUCGGGGGCUCAACCCUCGAAUGCCGGUGGAUACUGUCGGGCUAGAGUGCGGAAGAGGCGAGUGGAAUUCCUGGUGUAGCGGUGAAAUGCGCAGAUAUCGGGAAGAACACCCGUGGCGAAGGCGGCUCUCUGGGACGGUACUGACGCUGGGACGCGAAAAGCGUGGGGGAGCGAACAGG
rnacentral:rRNA from 1 species